CAGGGAUCUGCUGCGCCUGCGCGCUGACAACAUCCGCAGCCUGCCCAGUCUCUUUCCUCUUUGCCUGUGCGCCUGCGCUCCUAGCUUUCCCAGUCAGUGCGCGCUUUCCACUGUGCUUGUAUGGAGAGCAUAGGCGACAUCCGGUCCCAACACAAGGGGGGUGUGGACAGUCUGGCCAGCUCGACCCGCUCCUAUUUUUUGUCUCCACAAAUAGUAGGCUCACGAUCGCCAAGCUCGUGUCUGUCCACUUCCUUCAUAGGAGACUCCCCCCACACACACUUGGCUUCUGCGUCUACCUUCUUCAGGAUUGGUAUUCACUGCUUCCUGAAACUUCCAGGGGCACUGCAUCCUGGCCAGGUUUCUUCCUUGGGAACGAGGGAGGAGGCGUGACGCGCAAGCAGCUAUGAUUAAAAGAAGCCUGUGUGCAUCUGGCGUUGGUGGCGCACACCUUUGAUCCCAGCACUCGGGAGGCAGAGGCAAGUGGAUCUCUGUGAGCUCGAGGCCAGCCUGGUCUACAGAGUGAGUUCCAGGGCAGCCUCCAAAACAACACAGAGAAACCCUGUCUCUAAAAACAAAACAAACAGAAGAAGCCUGUGUGCAUGGGGGGGGGGGGCAUCAUUUUGUACAAAUGGUGAACCCUGCAUGCUGAUUGUUUCUGCAGAAUAAAUGCUCUUUGGUUUUGCAUAC